rnacentral:lncRNA from 1 species
GAUAAAAUUAAAAUAUUCAAAUUUACUUAAUCUACAAAAAAGUAAUUAUUUGUUUCUAUGUUUUUUUCAUAAAAACAUAUUAAAAUUAUCUUAAGUAUAAAUCAUUUUGAAUCGCCUAUCCAAUCUUUCAAAAUUUAAUUUUAUUAUUAAACUUUUCAAUUCAUUUGAUUUAAGUCAGGCAUUAGUAAUUUGAUUUCAAAAUUUAAAUACGUCGUUUAUCUAUAUAAGUUUAGUUAAUGUAUUUUAUAUGAUUCUCGUAAUUAUUAAUUCAUUAAAAUAAGUAAUUAAUUUAAUCUUUUAUAAUUUUGAUUUUAUUAACCAACUUUUUAAUUUUUUUAAUUCAAAUCAGUCAAUGACAUAUUGACUUUACAAUUUGAAUAAGUUGUUUAGACUUUAAUCAAUAUAUACUUCAUACAAUUCUUGCAACUAUAAAUUCAUUAAAGCAGAUAGGUAGCUUAAAUUUCGAAUUCAAAGCAUGCUGACUGACUCGAAUCACAGAAAUUAAAAAGUGGUAGUCAAUUUAAUAUGGUUCGUAGUUUAUAUAAGUUCCAAACAUUUUUUUUUAUUUCUAAUUUCAAUUUCAACUA